UUAUUCAUGUUCCUGUGCGCGGGCAGGGGCUCGGAUGCUAGCCGAUAGCCGAUAGCUAGCUUAGCUGUUUGCAUCAACAUGCCUGUGUCCUCUUCUCCAGCCGCUGUGAUGCCGUAGUUUCCCCGUAAACGUGUUCGUAAGACGGUGGUGUUUUCUGGGUGAUUCGGUGAAGCUCGGGAGGAUUUUUCUUCCAUUUCAUUGACCCACAAAAUCACAUUUCUCCACAAGAGAGCUCCGGGGGACCGUUUGCGGAUGUGAAGCGGGCAGCUAGCGAUAUCUGAGGGGGGAGAAGCUAUCGAGCGAAAGCGGCAUUUUCCCCGGGUCCCUGUGGAGGCUUCACCGGACACACAGAUAACACGUGAAGGCCUGAAGGAAGAGAAACCAUGGGGACCUUCUCAGAUCUCUGAUCCCAGGUCUGAUCCCCACACAGCUGUUCUGCUCUGCCCAGCCGCUCCUCUCAUCACAUUGUCCGUCCCAGGACCUUUUCCAGUUGUUCGCUGCCACUGUCGGAGAUGGAUUGGGCCACACCAGCUGCCAAGUUAAAUCCCUACACCAGAGCCCGCAUGUCGGAGGCCUGGCCGCAGCACGCCGUGGCUCCUCCUCCGGUCGUCCACACCCUCCCUCCAGGAGCCGAGAGCGCUCUGGGCUGUGC